rnacentral:rRNA from 1 species
CCUACGGGGGGCAGCAGUGAGGAAUAUUGGUCAAUGGACGAGAGUCUGAACCAGCCAAGUAGCGUGAAGGAUGACUGCCCUAUGGGUUGUAAACUUCUUUUAUAUGGGAAUAAAAUGUUCCACGUGUGGGAUUUUGUAUGUACCAUAUGAAUAAGGAUCGGCUAAAUCCGUGCCAGCAGCCGCGGUAAUACGGAGGAUCCGAGCGUUAUCCGGAUUUAUUGGGUUUAAAGGGAGCGUAGGUGGAUUGUUAAGGCAGUUGUGAAAGUUUGCGGCUUAACCGUAAAAUUGCAGUUGAAACUGGCAGUCUUGAGUACAGUAGAGGUGGGCGGAAUUCGUGGUGUAGCGGUGAAAUGCUUAGAUAUCACGAAGAACUCCGAUUGCGAAGGCAGUUCACUGGACUGCAACUGACACUGAGGCUCGAAAGUGUGGGUAUCAAACAGGAUUAGAUACCCUAGUAGUC